GCUACAAGCCAGGCUAUCGCUUCUUCUGCAAGGAAGGGGAGGAAAGUCCGGACAGCGCAGAGCAAUGCACCGGUGAAGAGCCGGCUCCUGAAAAGGAAGAGACAGUGCCACAGAAAAUAACUACCGGCAGCAAUGUCCGGAAAAGAUGAAAACGUGGGGUAAGAGCCCACGGCUUAUGCUGGUAACAGCAUUCGCGGGUAAACCUUGCAUGCUGAAAUGCCACGUAUAGUACCGUUGAGGGCGGCUCGCUCAAGCCCGGUUUCGGCCGGUCACGGUACAGGGUAGGCAGAUUGAGCCCGGUGCGUAAGUGCCGGGACAGAUAAAUGAUAGGCCGCACGUCAUUGACGUGUUACAAAAUCCGGCUUAUGGCUUGUAGUUUUU
rnacentral:RNase_P_RNA from 1 species